rnacentral:rRNA from 1 species
CCAGCAGCUGCGGUAAUUCCAGCUCCAAUAGCGUAUAUUUAAGUUGUUGCAGUUAAAAAGCUCGUAGUUGGAUUUCGGGCUCGAUUCGGCGGUCCGCCUCUGGUGUGCACUGCCGUGGUCUUGCCUUUCUGUCGGGGACGGGCUCCGGGCUUGAUUGCUCGGACUCGGAUUCGGCGAGGUUACUUUGAGUAAAUUAGAGUGUUCAAAGCAGGCGAUCGCCCUGAAUACAUUAGCAUGGAAUAACACGAUAGGACUCUGGCCUAUCCUGUUGGUCUGUAGGACCGGAGUAAUGAUUAAGAGGGACAGUCGGGGGCAUUCGUAUUUCAUUGUCAGAGGUGAAAUUCUUGGAUUUAUGAAAGACGAACUACUGCGAGAGCAUUUGCCAAGGAUGUUUUCAUUAAUCAAG